rnacentral:lncRNA from 1 species
AUGCUCAUUUUGUUACUUGGAAGUGUCGCCGCUUUCCUUUUUUUUUUUUUUCUUUUCUUUUCUUUUCUUCCCCCCUGCCUGGUUUCGCGUGGGGUCGGGCGGCUUCUCGGGGCGCUGAGCGUCGGCCCGGGGCGGGCGCGAGACUUGUCAGCGCAGCCGGGGGCGCGGCGGGGCGCGGUCCUGCCUCCGCGGGCUCCGCGCUCCCCCGCGCCGGGACCCGGGGACCCCGGCGCCCCGAAGUUCCCGCACCGUUUGCAGACAACUCUUUUGUUCGCGGAAGUUUGCGUCCGGCACCCCCGGGAUGCGGGCGCGCGGCGGCGGGCCCCGCGGCUCCUGGACGGGCCGGGGCGGGGUGGGGGGGGGCGCCUGGCCCGGGGCGGGGGCGGCCGGCGGGGCGGCCGCGGGGGCGGGGUGCGGGGUGCGGGGCGGGCGGAGCGGGGGGCGCCGGCGCGGCUUCGCACAUGGCGCGCAGGGCCGCGCUGCACGGGCGCUGCUCGCCUCCCCUUCCUUUCCCGCCGGGAGUGCCUGCUGGCGGGGCCGGGGCGCGCGGGGCGAGGCGCGGGCAGGACCCCCGGAGUUGCUCCCCGGAGUUGCUCCCCGGGGCGUCCCGGGGGACCACGCUGGCGGCGCGGGCCGGGGCGGCGAGGGGGCGGCGAGGCGGCGGCGGGGCGCGCUCUGCUGCUCGGGCCGGUCGCCCCGGGAGCCCCCCGGGGCCGGGCUGCCCGCGUCCGGCCGCCGGGCUCGUUCGCACGCACUGUACUUGGUCCGAUGGUGAACAAAGAACAGCGCUUUGCGGCGUUUGAUGAAUGGGAUUCCGCCUCCUAUAGGCCACACUCCGAGCCUUCGGUGCGCUGCAGCCCGCGGACCCGGCGGCGGCGGCGGGCGGGCGGGCGGGCGGCCCCUCGGGGGUGCUGCACCCCGGGCCCCCGACCCCCGGGGCAGGGCCCGGCCGCCGCCGCCGCCUCGCCUUGCCGCCGCCUCGCCUUGCCGCGGCGGGCGCAGAUGGGGCCGGGCCGACGGUGGUUCAACAGGAACAAAUGUUUGUUGAAUUGUUGGAUGGCGGAGACGAGGGGCUGUUCCUAUCGACUGCUGCAGGAGCAGGAGCCGGAAUGGCAUUGUUUAUUGGCCUGGGAAGCCGGCGAGCGUCUUGCGCCGCUCGCCUCCGCAUUCGCCCGCCUCCAAAUGACACACCAGCAUGACUGGUUGGUGGCCCUUGACCCGGUGUCUGCACUUGGCUAGGAUCUGGAUGCUGCCAGCCAUCCUGCAAAAGGGAGGAGCAUGCUGCUCUAGCUCCUAGGAUCUAGAAAAGGAAGGAGAGGCUUGGGACAG